CUGUCCAAACUUACACUGGAGAGCGAUUUUUGCGACAUUGAUGACGGCAGUUCCCAGAGUUGUAAAGCUCGGAAGGUGGCUGUGCUAGCUUCACGGUCCAUCGUUGCUCUCUCUUCAUUUUCAGAUGAAAAGAGGAUAAGAGUUUGCUCAGGAUUCGUGAUAUCAUCCAAUGCUUGUACAGAUACCUACAAAAUCUUAACUUCGGCAACACUAAUAAGGUCUCUUAACACGAAUAACAUUUUGAUUCUAGAUGUAAAGAUCAAGGUGUGUUUACCAAAUGGGGAUAUCUCUGAUGGCAUCAUAUCCAUGGUAGAUUUUCACUAUAACAUAGCUGUUGUUAAAGUGAAAUCUGAUCAGAAACUUCCAGAGGCAGUUAUGAUUAGUGAAGUUAUCAAAAGAGGAGCCGUGUUAGCGAUUGGACGUUUCUAUGAUCAUGGUAGAGUGAUGUGCGCACAAGGUAAAAUCAUAAAACAAGCAAGUACAUUUGAUUGCUCGGAGCUUCUAGUAUCAAGCUGCCAGACGACCAUGGUAAGCCCUACUAUAGCGCUUUUAUCUCCGCAUUCACUAAACGAAAUGCCGAACUGGUGUUAG
rnacentral:rRNA from 1 species